AGACGCAAGUUGGUAGGAUAUCUAAGCAGUGGUCCGGCCUGUUAAAGGAGGCCUUCACAGACGCAGAAAACUUUGGCAUCUCUUUUCCAAUGGACAUGGACACCAGCAUAAAGGGAGUGCUCAUCGGUGCAGCUUUCCUUAUCGACUUCAUGUUCUUCGAGAAGACGGGCAAUCAAGAACAAGACUGCUUUGGAAUGUUUUAGGAGGAGCCACAUGGAACGGGUUGAAGUGAGAGUACGCUCGCACGACGGGAUUUUUCGUUCCUUCUCGUGCACCCCUUGGGCAAAAUGUGAUCUCCAUACGACAGCUGAAUGCGACGUCGCCGCGGAGUAUAUUUCGCGCGAAGAGUAUCGGCAUUGAGCGUAGCCUAUACAGUCAGUGGCCGCGUUUACACGAAUGAAAUAGUAGCGCAUCGCGUCCUUUUAUUUAUUUUUAUUUUCCCCGCAUCACGGCUGUGCGAAGGCGUACAUGUAUACUUCUGGCGCAUCCGGCUGCACCUGAGACACGCCAAAACCUGUUUUCGGCGAGUGAAUUUCGCUAGAAAACGGGGCGUGCUAACAGCCAUCUCGCUUAUCCUCUUUUCGUCGAUGCGAUACGCCGGCAUUUUCCACCAAUCGCGAAAAAGGACUACACCCGUCAGCGAUUCGCCUAGCGCAUCGCCAACUAUACAUAGAUGCGACACGCUCGAAGUGCGAUGCGAUGUGCUCUAUAUUGUCGCAUUCUUGUAAACGCGGAUAUUUGCCUGUUAAAAAGGCCUUGCGCUGCUAAACUCGAGGACGCGGGUUCGAUGUCGGUCAACACCUAUCGAUAUCUGAUUGGAGCAAAGCGCUAGAACACACGCGCACUUAGUUUUUAGUUUUAGGUACAUGUUAAAGAAUUCAUUGCAGUCAAAAUUAAUCAUCAGUCCCCGUCACGGCUCUGUCUCAUCAACAUAUUGUAUACUUUUCACACGCUAAUCCUCUGUACAUAAUAUUAAAUUUGCGAAAAGGUCCCCUACUAGGCUUGGGCGUUGCAAGCAAACAAGAGCGGCCGGUGUAUCACGCGGUAGCGACUGCGUCUGCGACGUAUGAAACGGCUGCGUGACGAGAAAACGGUCGCAAUUUGAUACAAAAAUCCACGCGCCCUUCCUCCAGAGGAGCGAGAGUCAUGAUCACGCGUAGGAAUGCCCUGCUCAACACGUAUAUACUGCGUGCAACAUCAAUGGCCGCGUGACUUCGGUUAACAAUUCAAUGCGGAAUGUGCAAUGCCUACACUAUAGUAAUGCGCCGCGAAGCAAAACGGAGAGGCAAGAGAAAGAAGAUGGGGAGGUGGAGUUCGUGACGUGAACGUGACGCAAGCUCGUUCGCUCAUGCACGUGGGAGAACGAACGCCGAUAGCAUACGCUAUACAGCGGACUCAAAAUGUGCACGAUAGUGUACCUUUUGACGCCACAGCAUCCCCCUCCCUUCUUUCCCCGAAAGAACCUGAACCUUCGAAGAUUA
rnacentral:lncRNA from 1 species